rnacentral:rRNA from 1 species
AUGUGUGUGUUCUUAGGUUAUAGCCAGCUGCAUAAGGGGUACAAAUGUCUCGACCGUUCCACGGGUCGUAUCUACAUCUCCCGUGAUGUUGUGUUUGAUGAGUCUGUGUUUCCAUAUGCCACACCUGGGGUCACCAUCGAUAUCUCCUCCUUGGCUGAUGUUCUCUCGUUUCCUUCCAAUGAGCCGGUUACGGGUGACCAUAUGCGUAAAUACGACUUAUCCUACCUAUCUACUGAUCCGCCUAUUCCAGGCCAUAUUGCUUCUGUGCAGGCAAACCAGGAUGCCGCUCCUCCCUCCUUGGUGAUCGACGUGCAUGGCGCAUGCACGUCGCCCGGCUCGUCGGCUGCCUCGUCGGCUGCCUCGUCGCCCGGCUCAUCGUCCGCGACGUCCCCGCCCUUUGCGGGCCGCUCGGCUGGUCAGCCCGCUGCGGACGCGCCGACCUCCCCGGCGAUCGACGUGCAUGGCACAUGCACGUCCCCCAGCCCAGCGACCGCGCCAGCCUCCCCUGGCCCAUCAUCAGCGCCAGCACCGGCUACUUCAUCGCCUGCUGCCACGCAGGAGGCUGCUGCUCCCUCCUCGCCGUCCGACCAGCUCGCGUCGCCUUCUGUUGAGGGCAGCCCUGUCCCCUCAACCGCGACGCCUCCAGCUGCUCCGGGCCACACCAUGGUCACGCGCACCCGCGAUCAUACUCGUCGUGCGCUUGUUCCCACUGAUGGAAUUGCCCCCUAUGAUCCUCGCCGCCGUGCUUUCCACGCUAUGCCUGUAUCUCAUCGCGAUGCCCUCCGUGAGCAUGCUUGGCGCACCACCAUGAUGGAUGAGCUGGACGCUCUGCGUCGCAACAGGACUUGGGUUCUUGUGCCUCGUCCGCGUGGUGUUAAUGUCGUUGGGAGCAAGUGGAUCUUCAAGACCAAGCAUCGUCCGGAUGGCUCCAUUGACAAGCAUAAAGCUCGUCUGGUCGCGCGUGAUUUCACCCAACAGCUUGGCAUUGACUAUGGUGAUACGUCCAGUCCGGUUGUCAAGCCAGCCACCGUUCGACUGGUUCUUGCUCUAGCUGUGUCUCGCGGAUGGAUUCUCCGUCAGAUUGAUGUCAGCAAUGCCUUCCUUCAUGGUUACUUGUCUGAGGAUGUCUACAUGCAGCAACCACCAGGUUUUGAGGACGCUCGGUAUCCCUCUCAUGUGUGCAAGUUGCAGCGGGCUCUCUAUGGACUCAAACAGUCCCCCCGCGCAUGGUAUGCUCGGCUCAGCUCUCGUCUCCUCCAGUUGGGGUUUCUUCCCUCUCGCGCCGACGCCUCUCUGUUUUUCUUCCGCCAUCAGGAUGUUCAGAUAUACAUGCUUGUCUAUGUGGAUGAUAUUGUUAUCGCUGGCUCUUCUCCACGUGCAGUUGACGGUCUUGUCGAUUCGCUUGCGGCCACCUUUCCUAUUAAGGAUCUUGGGCUGUUGGAGUACUUUCUUGGCUUGGAAGCGUCAUACAAUUCAGGGGGUAUGACCUUGACACAACAGAAGUAUGCCAUGGAUCUUUUACAUCGUGUGAACAUGGAGAAUUGUAAGUCCACUUCCACACCGUUGUCUACCUCCGACCAGCUUGCACGGGUGUCUGGACAGCCUCUCGGUGCCGAUGAUUCUUUCCGGUAUCGCAAUGUCGUUGGUGGAUUGCAGUAUUUGACUCUCACUCGCCCAGACAUUUCAUUUGCAGUGAACAAGGUAUGCCAGUUUCUCUCAUAG